rnacentral:rRNA from 1 species
GACGAACGCUGGCGGCGUGCCUAAUACAUGCAAGUCGAACGCAGUGGGGACGGGUGAGUAACACGUGGGUAACCUCCCAUCAGAGGGGAUAACACUUGGAAACAGGUGCUAAACCGAUACUGAUGGAUGAACCCGCGGGUCAUUAGCUAGUUGGUGAGGUAACUGCUCACCAAGGCCACGAUGCCUAGCCGCCCUGAGCGGGUCAUCGGCCACAUUGUGACUGAGCAACGGCCCAGAGUCUUACGGGAGGCAGCAGUAGGGAAUCUGCGGCAAUGGACUAAAGUCUGACCGAGCAACGCCGCGUGAGUUAAGCAGGUUUUCGGAUCGUAAAACUCUGUUGUUAGAGAAGCGGUUUCUAACCAGAAAGCCACGGCUAACUACGUGCCAGCAGCCGCGGUAAUAC